CAAACAGCGACCAGAAGCCAGGAAGUCCCUGGCGAAUUCUUUUGAAGCACAACCCCUACAAUCCGUGUGCCGGAGCAUAAAGAUUGAAGUGUGCGCGGUUCCUCCUCCCUCCGGGCCGCGCGUCCGGAACGUUCCUGGCUGUCAGCGCUGUGCUAGCAGGAAGGUCUGUGAAGUUUGCAAUAAAGCCAUUAUGAAGUCAAGAAUGGAGGUUCCAUUUUUAAAGAACUCAGAGGGGGUAGAUCUUGAUUGACAUCUCAUCUGGGGUCACCUGGUCUUCAACUGAGAGAUCUUUUGGUUCGCCACGGAUGCCCCUUGCAGUUAUGGAAGUUCACUCUUUGAGAGAGAGAUAAAUAAACAUUAAAAUGUAAAGAAAAAAAAAAUCAGCAAUGGAAGGAAAAAGGAACAAAAAGCAAUCCAUUGGCGUCAAGCUUGACUGGACCACUCCACUGCUCUGCUGCCGUUAGUGAACCUGACCCUGCAGCAGGAGUCACAGACUCACCACUCACCUCAAGUCCUCACUCCCUGGACCCUCAAUCUACACAUCACUUUGUCUUUUAUUUCCCUGAGAAAUACAGGCCAUCAGUUUGCAGAUCCCUCCUUUCCCCUUACCCUGCAAAUCUCCAUCUAUUUGGAAAAGUGUGCCUCCUACAUUCCAAAGCUAACCCCUCCUCCUCUGCCACUAAUAUCAGCCCUACCUGCCUUCUUCUGUAACUUGCUCCAUUAAUUCCCUCCCCUCUCCCCCAGGUCUCCCUGCCUAUGAACAUAUUCAAGGACAUCAUAUCUUAAAAACAAACAAAUAUCAGGCACAAUGGCUCACACCUGUAAUCCCAGCACUUUGAGAGGUCAAGGCAGGAGAAUCACUUGAAUCCAGGGGUUCAAGACCAGCCUGGGAAACAUAGGGAGACCCUAUCUCUACAAAAAAUAUUUUUUAAAAAAAUUAGCCAGGUGUGGUGGUGUGCACCUGUAGUCCCAACUACUCAGAAGGCUGGGGUGGGAGAAAUAUUUCAGCCCAGGACGUCACUGUGCACAAUUGCUUUACUUUUUUUUCCCUUGGUAUAGACUUGUUGAAGAGUAAGCCUUCAUGUACUGUUUCCUCACUUUACAUUCACUCUCAACUGGAGACAAUAUAGAGUCUUCGCAGAUGCAGCUUUCUCCAGACCAACAAUGUGGUUAGACAUCUGGUUUUUCAUUGUUGUUGUUUGAUUUCUCUGACUAGCUUCCCUGACCAGAGGUCGUUUUGAGUUUCCUUCUCUGGAAUUUGACCACUGAGCAGAGACACAUAGGAGAGAAGACGUGAAUGCUGAGUCAUCAAUCAGCAUCACUGGGAAGAAAAAGCCUCUCAGUUUCUUCUGCUGGGACUCCCAGAGCUGGAGUAUUUUCUGCUCUUCCUAAGGCCUGAAUCUCACCUUGUCACCCAGGCUGGAGUGCAAUGGCAUAAUCUCAGCUCACUGCAACCUCUGUCUCCCAGGCUCAAAUGAUUCUCCUGCCUCAGCCUCCUGAGUAGCUGGGAUUACAGGCGCCCAUGGACUACCAGCUUUUUAAGUAGACUUUUUAGCCAAAGGCCAAGGGAAACUACCCUCUUCCUACUGGGGUUCAAAUUGAUUAAAAUGGUUUGCUUUGACUUUUGUUGAAGUCUCUUUAUUUUCUUUUUAAGAUUAUGUUAAAUUAUAAUCCACAUUGGCUUUCUUUUUACAGGUAAACUUUUUCUCUUCUAGAUUUCUAGACGGCCUUCCCCCACUUCGCUUCUCUCUCUGCCAUUUUCCUCCCCUCUCCCGCCUCCCCAAGUUAGAAGAGGCUGACAAAAAGAGGCUCAUCAAAGUUAAAUGUUGCCAACAUAAAUUGGUCCCUCUUCUCUUCCUUGAUGUGACUGGUCUCUCAACCUAUUGAUGGCAUCCAGUUCCAACUUUCCUCUUCUCAUUUGGGACAUUGGGAGGAGAGUAGUCUCUAUUUUUAAUAACAAAGUAG
rnacentral:lncRNA from 10 species